CCUACGGGUGGCAGCAGUGGGGAAUAUUGGACAAUGGACGAAAGUCUGAUCCAGCGAUGCCGCGUGAGUGAAGAAGGCCUUCGGGUUGUAAAGCUCUUUUACUUGGGAAGAAAAAUGUUUAACUAAUAAUUAAACACGCUGACGGUACCAAGAGAAUAAGGAUCGGCUAACUACGUGCCAGCAGCCGCGGUAAUACGUAGGAUCCAAGCGUUAAUCGGAAUUAUUGGGCGUAAAGAAUUUGUAGGCUGUUAUGUAAGUUGGUUGUGAAAUCCCUGGGCUUAACCUAGGAAUUGCGACCAAGACUACAUGGCUAGAGUAUAUAAGAGGCAAGUGGAAUUCCUAGUGUAGCAGUGAAAUGCGUAGAUAUUAGGAGGAACACCAGUGGCGAAGGCGACUUGCUGGGAUAAUACUGACGCUGAGAAAUGAAAGCGUGGGGAGCAAACAGGAUUAGAUACCCCGGUAGUC
rnacentral:rRNA from 1 species